AUCCUUUGCAUGAUAAUAUUGUAUUUGUUCACCUGGUACCAAAUCUACCAUUCAAGAUUCUACUUUUCUUUCUUUUUAAUAUCUUUCCAACCUGCUUCAUCCAAUCUACUUGUCAAGAUUCGUAUUUUUUCCUCCUUUGUAAUUUGUUCUUCCUGCUUAACCAGGAAUACUAAUUUGGUAACAAGAUGUCGCCCUGCGCCUGGAGAAGCUUCGAUAGCUAUCUGGGCCUCCCGAAAUACAGCUUGGCAAGUGGAAAAACAAGAUCUCUGUUCCAAUCUGCAAAUGUUGUUGAAAGGCAGAAUUUGGAAGGUGGUAUGGAUGGAUCCUUAGCAGAGAAGUAUGCUUCUUCGCAUGAGAGACUGUCUGAUGACAUACGGAAAGAGAAUUGUGUAUCAGAUAUGCUAAUUGAUUCAUUUGGGAGGCUUCAUACUUAUUUGAGGAUCUCUUUGACAGAACGUUGCAACUUACGGUGUCAGUACUGUAUGCCAGCUGAGGGUGUAGAAUUAACCCCAAAUUCUCAUCUUCUAUCACAAAAUGAGAUUCUUCGUUUGGCGAAUCUUUUUGUCAGUUCUGGAGUUGACAAAAUUCGUUUGACUGGUGGAGAGCCAACUGUCAGAAAGGAUAUUGAAGAUAUUUGCUCACAGCUGUCAAACCUGAAGGGACUAAAAACCUUGGCUAUGACCACAAAUGGAAUUACACUAGCAAGGAAACUGCCAAAACUGAAAGAAUGUGGACUGAAUUUGGUAAACAUAAGCUUAGAUACAUUGGUACCAGCAAAAUUUGAAUUUAUGACUCGGCGUAAAGGACAUGAAAGGGUGAUGGAGUCAAUUAAUGCUGCAGUCGACUUGGGAUACAAUCCUGUCAAGGUCAAUUGUGUCGUAAUGCGUGGCUUCAAUGAUGAUGAGAUCUGUGAUUUUGUAGAAUUGACGCGUGAGAAGCCCAUUAAUGUUCGGUUUAUUGAGUUCAUGCCUUUUGAUGGAAAUGUUUGGAACGUCAAGAAACUUGUGCCCUACUCUGAAAUGUUGGACAGAGUGGUAAGGUUAAACAGUUUACAGGGGUUCAGAGAAUUCAGGACCAUCCAACUGAGACUGCUAAGAAUUUCAGGGUUGAGGGCCAUCAGGGUUCAGUUUCUUUUAUUACAUCAAUGACUGAGCAUUUUUGUGCUGGAUGUAACAGGUUGAGACUUUUGGCUGAUGGGAAUUUCAAAGUAUGCCUUUUUGGUCCCUCAGAGGUCAGCUUAAGGGAUCCACUUCGUCUUGGUGUUGAGGAUAAUGAGCUCAAGGAGAUUAUUGGGGCUGCGGUUAAGAGAAAGAAGGCUUCUCAUGCUGGCAUGUUUGAUAUUGCAAAGACGUCAAAUAGACCCAUGAUCCGCAUUGGUGGCUAAGCUUGUGCGAAGUUGAAGUGAUUCCAUGCCUAAAUAAACUAUGUUUGAUGAGGAAAUUGUGACCAAGUCGAUUCCAUCUGAUGACUCUGAAUUUAUGUCUGGGUUGAGUGUCUCUGAAGCGCCAGGAAGAACUUGUCAUCUAUUCUGUAGUUGGAUUUUUUUUUUUCCCCCUAUCAGCCAUUUUCAUGUAAUUCUGAAUUUUGUACAAUGUUGUGAUAUUAGUAAUGUGAUCGAGAAGCAAGGAGGUCAAUCUCUUUCAAAUAUACAACAUGGAUUCUGGCAAUGCAAUGUAAUGUAGUUGGACUCUCAUUGGAACUCUGUUUCUAUUUAUUUUUGUUUUACCUUGGAAAAUCAUACAAUUACCUCGCGGGGAGUUAGCUGCACCCACGAAUGAUA